CAGGGAGACAACAAAAUGUUUAAUAUUAUUAUUUUGNACCUUAGGGCGAUCGGUAUCUCACAUUCUUAAUUUAUUAAGGAUUUCAUUUCCUAAGUUUUUUCUAGGUCACACCCAUUAUUUUUCCUGGGCCAUUAGCUCAGGGGGUUAAAGCGCACCCCUGUUAAGGGUGAGGGCCCUGGUUCAAGUCCAGGAUGGCCCUUAUCUCUAUGUUGGGGGUUUAGCUCAUUUGGUAAAGCGCCUGCUUUGCAAGCAGGAUGUCAGCGGUUCUAGUCCGCUUACCUCCACUGAUUACCACCUCUNACAUAAUCUGAUAAAAGAAAUGUUUUGAGCUGUGAUAAAAUUCUGAACUNUCUAUCUUCCUAAUGAAAUCAUUAAGAUGCUGGACUUANUGAAUUAAUUUCAUUGUUUUCAAACAACCUUGACUACUGCAUAUAUUAUUUUUAAAGACAAUAAGCUUUUUUAAUGAUGCAUAUUUAUUAUUNGUGCGUAUGCAUUACAUUACAAUUCAAUUAAGUCGAUUCUUCAUUUUUUGAUGUUAUU
rnacentral:tRNA from 1 species